rnacentral:rRNA from 1 species
AUGGCAAGCACAGGAAGUGCAUUAAGCAACUUACCACAAGCUUGGUUGGGGAAUUCCUUGGUAAAGUAUGGCCACAUGUGGGCUGCAGCUAGGGCAUAUGAAAAAGAUAAAUUUGAUAACCACAUGGCCAAGAUAUUUGCAGCAAGCAAAGCCGUAUGGUGGGACGAGGACAGAUGUAUUGAAACAAAAAUCAUUCAAACAAAUGUUGAGGAGGAAACCCUUCAAAAUAAUAUAACUGCAAGGACGAAUAAGAGUUCAAAGGCCCAAAGUUCAACGUUUGUCUCAAUUCAGCGCCAAAAAUAUCCACAAGAUAAAGACGCACCGGGGAACAUGGUCCAGAUUUCGCCACGAGUGGAGCAUCUUGUUGCUCAAGUUUCGGAGGACCCAAUCGAGGAGAAGCAGAGGUGA